GACGAACGCUGGCGGCGUGCUUAACACAUGCAAGUCGAGCGGUAAGGCCCUUUCGGGGUACGACGAGCGGCGAACGGGUGAGUAACACGUGGGUGGACCUGCCCUCCAGCUCUGGGAUAAGCCUGGGAAGCCGGGUCUAAUACUGGAUAUGACUCCAUGACGCAUGUUGUGGGGUGGAAAGCCUUGUGCGGCUGAGGAUGGGCCCGCGGCCUAUCAGCUUGUUGGUGGGGUGAUGGCCUACCAAGGCGA
rnacentral:rRNA from 1 species